rnacentral:rRNA from 1 species
UACGUAGGGACCAAGCGUUGUUCGGAUUUACUGGGCGUAAAGGGCGCGUAGGCGGCGCGGUAAGUCACUUGUGAAAUCUCUGAGCUUAACUCAGAACGGUCAAGUGAUACUGCUGUGCUAGAGUGCGGAAGGGGCAAUCGGAAUUCUCGGUGUAGCGGUGAAAUGCGUAGAUAUCGAGAGGAACACCUGAGGUGAAGACGGGUUGCUGGGCCGACACGUGACGCUGAUGCGCGAAAGCCAGGGGAGGCAAACGGG